GCGGGGCCCGCGCGCGCGCCCGCGGCUCCGCGCGCGUGCCCGCGGCUCCGGUGCCCCUCCGGGAUCCCCGCCGAGCCCGGGCCGCGCAGCGGGGCUGGGUAUUUCCCCACCCAGGGCAGGGACCCCCGGCCAUGGAGCGGGCGCUGCUGCCCCGCCUGUGCCAGCGGGCCCUGCGGCUGUGCCGGGGCGGGCUCCGGUUCCGCUCCACCUGCGGGGCUGAGCAAGGAGCGGCCCGCGGCCGCGAUCCCCCCGCGUCCCUCCCGCAGAGCCCGGGAGCCGAGCGGGGGUCGCGCGCCGGGCAGGAGCUGUGGCGGGCACAGCAAGACCUGCCCCGGGCCGGCAAGGGGAAGGGGCUGGAGCGAAAGGCGCUGUCCCUGGAGAGGACCAAAGGCUCCGAGAUCCUGUUCGGGGUGGCCCCGUGCUGGCUGGCGCUCUCCCGGGCGCGGAGGGCCCUGUUCCGGCUCUUCCUGAAGGAGCCGCGCGGCGGCUCCGGGCGGCCCGUGAGGGCCGAGCUCGCCCUGCAGGCCGCGGCCCGCGGGGUGCCGGUGCUGCACGUCCCGGGCCGGGCGCUGGACGCGCUGUGCCGGGGCCGGCCCCACCAGGGAGUGUGUCUGGAGGCGGCCCCGCUGCCCUUCAGGAGCCUGCGGGACGCUGAGGAGCCGCAGCUGGGGCACGGAGAGAGCGGGGGCCGGCAGCUGCUGUGGCUGGUGCUGGAGCACAUCCAGGAUCCCAUGAACCUGGGGGCCCUGCUGCGCUCCGCGUACUUCCUGGGGGUGGACAGAGUGCUGGCCACCCACAGCAACAGCUGCCCCUUGACUCCCAUAGUGAGCAAAGCCAGCGCUGGAGCCAUGGAGGUCUUCGAUGUGUACAGCACAGAUGAUCUGCAGGGCUUUCUGAAGGCUAAAAGUGCAGAAGGCUGGGAAGUGGUGGGAACAGCCAGCAGGCCUGAGGAUGUGGAAGGUGUUCCUGUCAUCAGCUGCUCGGAAUUCCGGUGGGACAAACCCCUUAUUGUAGUGAUAGACAACGCUGCAAAUCUGGCAUCUCUACAAGAUGUGUGGAGCUGUAUUCCAGGGGGAGCAGGGAGGCUGGCAGCUCUGCUGAUUGCCCACAAAGAAAUGCAUCCCACAAACGGCGACAGCACCCGGAGAGAGGCAGGGGCUGGAAGCGGCAGCAGCGUCGUUACCUUGAGUUAUGAGAGAUUUCUCCAGGAAAAAGUCCAAAUAUCCUUUUGUCAGGGGAGAUUGGAGGCUGAUUGGUAGAUGCAUGAGGAGAGCUCCCGGACCUUGCAGCAGUAAUGAUUUCAACUCUCUGCUGAGCACUAACUCUUGGCUGAAAAGAAAAUUGAACAUUACGGUCGUCUGAUGCUGGGCUUGUUGGGAGAAACGUCCUGGAUGUGAAUAUGGAGCAUUCCUGCAGCUGCAGGGAGCAGCAGAGAUAAUUCAGCCUGGGAUUGAGCUCCCUGGCACCACACAGAUUGUCUUGUAAGUUGAGCAUUUGCAGGCUCCAGUUCCCCCUCCUGGCAUCCUCGCUGGCUUGGCAGAGAGUGAUUUGGACAGUCCAGCUUAAUGUUGUCUGCACUGGAGUCAUUGCUGGAGGCGACAGACAGCUCAGACUGGGAGCCUGGUGCACACAGGAGCAGAUUGGGAGCACUUAGAUGGCUGAGCAGUGAAGGGGAGGGCCUUUCCCUGGAGACUCAGCUGCAGUGCCAGCAGAUGUUGGCCAUCCCCCCUGGCAGGGCGCUGCACCCCGGCAUCGACUCCCUCAACGUCUCUGUGGCUGCAG